UUUAUUCACUAGGGGAGUUUAACGGCUGAGAUAGAGCGCAUGCUCUGGACCCUUGGAACCUGAUCUGGAUCAUUCCAGCGGAGGGAAGUGGAGCAGGAUCAUC
rnacentral:ncRNA from 2 species